ACUGUCUGUGUGAUGCUUUUGCCAGGACCAGAGCAGGAAUGCAGGGCAAGCAUCAGAGCAAGAACUUUUAUUUUCUUCAAAGGCACAUGACAAAUCAGCAAGCUUAAGGAAAUCCCUAGAGUGAGCGCACAGCAGGCACCAUCUUCUCCCCAACCUCGAGUAACUGUCAUUCUUUGUUCC